rnacentral:lncRNA from 10 species
GGUUCCCAGGCCGGGUGGAGACCAACUCUGGGGUCUGUUGGUGGGAGAGUGGGGAGCCCGUCUUCUGCUGAGUGCUGCCGCCCCUUCCCAGGACAGCGGAGGUGGAACUUCGUCGCGCUGCAACCCCCGGCUCGGUCACUCAUCCUCUAGUGAAACAGAUGCUGUAGGAACAUGGGUCAUUUAUCCUCUGGCUUCUAGCACAUUCUAGCAUGCCCCAGUGUCCAAAUCUGGGAGUUAUAGAAUGAGGUACAGUCUAAUACGGCAGCACAGUAGAUUUCUGUGAUUUGGGGGAUUGCCUGCUCAAGAGUAGUAUGUCAUGGAACUGAGGAGAGUGAGUUCAUCCUGCUGACUAAUGAGGCUGUCCCUGGAAGGCUGCAGUCAUUUGGAGGCACCUCAUUACCAGAUCGUUGGGGAUCAGCUGGAGAGAGUUCACAGAAGACCCACAGGAAUGAUUAAGAGACUGGAGAGGCUGACUGAUGAAGAAAGUAUAAAUGAAAACCAUGUAACUUGGCUAAACCACAAUAGCAGAAAUAGACAACUGUAUAAAUAUCUCAAGAGUAUAAACUUGAUGGAGGAGGGCAAUCUUUUAUGGUGGGAUUUUGGGUUGGGGAGUAUAAACUAAGAGUGGAAUUAAGCCAUAGUAAAUGUAAACUGAUAAUCCAAAGUGUCUGAUAUAUUCUUGGAACCUCCUUAGUUAGACCACCCUAACCUGUGCACUUUUUGAAAAUUGAAUAGUUUGUUUUUUUAAGUUCAUGUCCCUGGACUCAUGGCUGGUGCUUCUCUGUGGAGAAUGCUGGAGAUUGCAUCUUACAAAACAAACGUCUUUCUUUUGUCUUGUCAUUUGGUGGACAUCAGUAGGUGAUAUCAGAACUUCUGUUUGCUGCCACUAGCUCUGUAUGCACCAAAAUUUUGAAAUGGACUUUUACAUCAUGUUUUUCAUGGCUGUGUGUGUGUGUGUGUGUGUAUGUGUGACAGGAUCUCUCUCUCUGUUACCCAGGCUAGAGUACAGUGGUGUGGUGUGAUCACAGCUCACUGUAGCCUCAAACUUCUGGGCUUAGGAGAUCCUCCUGCCUUAGCUUCUGAGUAGCUAGGACAACAGGGGCAUGCUACCACGCCCAGCUAAUUUAUUUUAUUUUAUUAUUUUAUUUUAUUUUUUGAGACGAAGUCUUGCUUUGUCACCCAGGAUGGAGUGCAGUGGCGCAAUCUUGGCUCACUACAACUUAAGCCUCCCAAGUUCAAGUGAUUCUCCUGCCUCAGUCUCCUGAGUAGCUGGGAUUACAGGUGUGUGCCACCAUGCGUGGCUAAUUUUCGUAUUUUAGUAGUGAUGGGGUUUUGCCAUGUUGGCCAGGCUUUUCUCAAACCCCUGACCUCAGGUGAUCUGCCCACUUUGGCCUCCCAAAGUGCUGGGAUUACAGGCGUGAGCCACCAUACCUGACCAAUUUAUUUUUAUUUUUUUAGAGAGGGCCCAGUCUGGUUUCAACUCCUAGGCUCAAGUGAUCUUCCCAGUUCAGCCUCCUAAAGUGUUGGGAAUACAGGUGUGCACUACUGCACCUGGCCUUUCACAGCUUUUUAGAAUAGCACUUUAGAAGUAGAGACUGAGUUAGUAGUAUGUGUUAUAGUAAUUUUAGCAACCCGGAUACAGUAUUUGGUCCCCGAGAUACUAGUUUUAGGAAAUAUUAGCCUUGAUCAAAUGCAAGCAUGAUUGUAUGAAAUACAUACUUUGGAAAAUGACUGUAAAAUUCCUAAUUGGG